AUUGAACGCUAGCGGGAUGCCUUACACAUGCAAGUCGAACGGAGUGGCGAACGGGUGAGUAAUGUAUCGGAACGUGCCCAGUAGCGGGGGAUAACUACGCGAAAGCGUAGCUAAUACCGCCUACUAUUGGAGCGGCCGAUAGGGGCUUAGCUAGUUGGUGGGGUAACGGCUGCCCAAGGCGACGAUCCGUAGCUGGUUUGAGAGGACGACCAGCCACCCUGGGACUUAGACACGGCCCAGACUACUACGGGAGGCAGGAUUGGUGAAUUUUGGACAAUUGGGGAAACCCUGAUCCAGCCAUCCCGCGUGUGCGAUGAAGGCCUGCGGGUUGUAAAGCACUUUUGGCAGGAAAGCGGUACCUGCAGAAUAAGCACCGGCUAACUACGUGCCAGCAGCCGCGGUAAUUC
rnacentral:rRNA from 1 species